AUUGAACGCUGGCGGCAGGCCUAACACAUGCACGUCGAGCGAGCGGCGGACGGGUGCGUAAUGUCUGGGAAACUGCCUGAUGGAGGGGGAUAACUACUGGAAACGGUAGCUAAUACCGCAUACCAUCAGCAGUGCCCAGAUGGGAUUAGCUAGUAGGUGGGGUAACGGCUAACCUAGGCGACGAUCCCAAGCUGGUCUGAGAGGAUGACGAGCCACACUGGAACUGAUACACGGUCCAGACUCCUACGGGAGGCAGCAGUGGGGAAUAUUGCACAAUGGGCGCAAGCCGGAUGAAGCCAUGCCGCGUGUAUGAAGAAGGCCUUCGGGUUGUAAAGUACUUUCAGCGGGGAGGCGUUACCCGCAGAAGAAGCACCGGCUAACUCCGUGCCAGCAGCCGCGGUAAGUC
rnacentral:rRNA from 1 species